CAGGGUUUGACAUCCUGCGAAUCUCUUGGAAACGAGAGAGUGCCUUCGGGAACGCAGUGACAGGUGGUGCAUGGCUGUCGUCAGCUCGUGUCGUGAGAUGUUGGGUUAAGUCCCGCAACGAGCGCAACCCACGUCGUUAGUUGCCAGCAUUUAGUUGGGCACUCUAGCGAGACCGCCGGUGAUAAACCGGAGGAAGGUGUGGAUGACGUCAAGUCAUCAUGCCCCUUACAUCCUGGGCUGCACACGUACUACAAUGCUACGGACAAAGGGCAGCAAACUCGCGAGAGCUAGCAAAUCCCAUAAACCGUGGCUCAGUUCAGAUCGUAGGCUGCAACUCGCCUACGUGAAGGAGGAAUCGCUAGUAAUCGCAGGUCAGCAUACUGCGGUGGAUACGUUCCC
rnacentral:rRNA from 1 species